rnacentral:rRNA from 1 species
UUAGAGUUUGAUCCUGGCUCAGAUUGAACGCUGGCGGCAUGCCUUACACAUGCAAGUCGAACGGCAGCGCGGGGGCAACCCUGGUGGCGAGUGGCGAACGGGUGAGUAACAUAUCGGAACGUGCCCUGGAGUGGGGGAUAACUAGUCGAAAGAUUAGCUAAUACCGCAUACGAUCUAAGGAUGAAAGCAGGGGACCGCAAGGCCUUGUGCUCCUGGAGCGGCCGAUAUCUGAUUAGCUAGUUGGUGGGGUAAAGGCCUAUCAAGGCAUCGAUCAGUAGCUGGUCUGAGAGGACGACCAGCCACACUGGAACUGAGACACGGUCCAGACUCCUACGGGAGGCAGCAGUGGGGAAUUUUGGACAAUGGGCGCAAGCCUGAUCCAGCAAUGCCGCGUGAGUGAAGAAGGCCUUCGGGUUGUAAAGCUCUUUUGUCAGGGAAGAAACGGUGGAGGUUAAUACCUUCUGCUAAUGACGGUACCUGAAGAAUAAGCACCGGCUAACUACGUGCCAGCAGCCGCGGUAAUACGUAGGGUGCAAGCGUUAAUCGGAAUUACUGGGCGUAAAGCGUGCGCAGGCGGUUGUGCAAGACAGAUGUGAAAUU